AUUGAACGCUGGCGGCAGGCUUAACACAUGCAAGUCGAGCGGGGUGAUGGUGCUUGCACUAUCACUUAGCGGCGGACGGGUGAGUAAUGCUUAGGAAUCUGCCUAUUAGUGGGGGACAACAUCUCGAAAGGGAUGCUAAUACCGCAUACGUCCUACGGGAGAAAGCAGGGGAUCACUUGUGACCUUGCGCUAAUAGAUGAGCCUAAGUCGGAUUAGCUAGUUGGUGGGGUAAAGGCCUACCAAGGCGACGAUCUGUAGCGGGUCUGAGAGGAUGACCCGCCAAACUGGGACUGAGACACGGCCCAGACUCCUACGGGAGGCAGCAGUGGGGAAUAUUGGGCAAUGGGGGGAACCCUGAUCCAGCCAUGCCGCGUGUGUGAAGAAGGCCUUAUGGUUGUAAAGCACUUUAAGCGAGGAGGAGGCUCUUUUGGUUAAUACCCAAGAUGAGUGGACGUUACUCGCAGAAUAAGCACCGGCUAACUCUGUGCCAGCCGCCGCUGUAAAAC
rnacentral:rRNA from 1 species